rnacentral:rRNA from 1 species
GACGAACGCUAGCGGGAGGCCUAACACAUGCAAGCCGAGCGGUAUUGUUUCUUCGGAAAUGAGAGAGCGGCGUACGGGUGCGGAACACGUGUGCAACCUGCCUUUAUCUGGGGGAUAGCCUUUCGAAAGGAAGAUUAAUACUCCAUAAUAUAUUAAUUGGCAUCAAUUGAUAUUGAAAGCUCCGGCGGAUAGAGAUGGGCACGCGCAAGAUUAGCUAGUUGGUGAGGUAACGGCUCACCAAGGCGAUGAUCUUUAGGGGGCCUGAGAGGGUGAUCCCCCACACUGGUACUGAGACACGGACCAGACUCCUACGGGAGGCAGCAGUGAGGAAUAUUGGUCAAUGGGUGCAAGCCUGAACCAGCCAUCCCGCGUGAAGGAUUAAGGUCCUAUGGAUUGUAAACUUCUUUUGUAUAGGGAUAAACCUACCCUCGUGAGGGUAGCUGAAGGUACUAUACGAAUAAGCACCGGCUAACUCCGUGCCAGCCGCCGCCGUAAAAC